GAUGAACGCUGGCGGCGUGCCUAAUACAUGCAAGUCGAGCGAACAGAUAAGGAGCUUGCUCCUUUGACGUUAGCGGCGGACGGGUGAGUAACACGUGGGUAACCUACCUAUAAGACUGGGAUAACUUCGGGAAACCGGAGCUAAUACCGGAUAACAUUUGAAACCGCAUGGUUCUAAAGUGAAAGAUGGUUUUGCUAUCACUUAUAGAUGGACCCGCGCCGUAUUAGCUAGUUGGUAAGGUAACGGCUUACCAAGGCAACGAUACGUAGCCGACCUGAGAGGGUGAUCGGCCACACUGGAACUGAGACACGGUCCAGACUCCUACGGGAGGCAGCAGUAGGGAAUCUUCCGCAAUGGGCGAAAGCCUGACGGAGCAACGCCGCGUGAGUGAUGAAGGGUUUCGGCUCGUAAAACUCUGUUAUUAGGGAAGAACAAACGUGUAAGUAACUGUGCACGUCUUGACGGUACCUAAUCAGAAAGCCACGGCUAACUACGUG
rnacentral:rRNA from 1 species